rnacentral:rRNA from 1 species
GAUGGACGCUGGCGGCGUGCUUAACACAUGCAAGUCGAACGAUGAAGCCCAGCUUGCUGGGUGGAUUAGUGGCGAACGGGUGAGUAACACGUGAGUAACCUGCCCUUAACUCUGGGAUAAGCCUGGGAAACUGGGUCUAAUACCGGAUAGGAGCGCCUACCGCAUGGUGGGUGUUGGAAAGAUUUAUCGGUUUUGGAUGGACUCGCGGCCUAUCAGCUUGUUGGUGAGGUAAUGGCUCACCAAGGCGACGACGGGUAGCCGGCCUGAGAGGGUGACCGGCCACACUGGGACUGAGACACGGCCCAGACUCCUACGGGAGGCAGCAGUGGGGAAUAUUGCACAAUGGGCGAAAGCCUGAUGCAGCGACGCCGCGUGAGGGAUGACGGCCUUCGGGUUGUAAACCUCUUUCAGUAGGGAAGAAGCGAAAGUGACGGUACCUGCAGAAGAAGCACCGGCUAACUACGUG